AUUGAACGCUGGCGGCAGGCCUAACACAUGCAAGUCGGGCGGAGCGGCGGACGGGUGAGUAAUGUAUGGGGAUCUGCCUGAUGGAGGGGGAUAACUACUGGAAACGGUAGCUACUACCGCAUACCAUCAGAUGCACCAAUAUGGGAUUGGCUUGUAGGAGAGGUAACGGCUAACCUAGGCGAAGAUACCUAGAGGGUCUGAGAGGAUGAUAGGCCACACUGGGACGGAGACACGGGCCAGCUUCCUACGUGAGGCAGCAGUGGGGAAUAUUGGACAAUGGGCGAAAGCCUGAUCCAGCCAUGCCGCGUGUGUGAAGAAUGUCUUCGGAUUGUAAAGCACUUUAAGUUGGGAGGCGUUACCAACAGAAUAAGCACCGGCUAACUUCGUGCCAGCAGCCGCGGUAAUAC
rnacentral:rRNA from 1 species